UACGUAGGGUGCGAGCGUUAAUCGGAAUUACUGGGCGUAAAGCGUGCGCAGGCGGUUUUGUAAGCCAGAUGUGAAAUCCCCGGGCUUAACCUGGGAAUGGCAUUUGGGACUGCAAGGCUGGAGUGCGGCAGAGGAGACUGGAAUUCCUGGUGUAGCAGUGAAAUGCGUAGAUAUCGGGAAGAACACCCGUGGCGAAGGCGGCUCUCUGGGACGGUACUGACGCUGAGACGCGAAAGCGUGGGGAGCGAACAGG
rnacentral:rRNA from 1 species